rnacentral:rRNA from 1 species
GACGUAGGGUGCAAGCGUUGUCCGGAUUUAUUGGGCGUAAAGAGCUCGUAGGCGGCUUGUUGCGUCGACUGUGAAAACCCGCGGCUUAACCGCGGGCUUGCAGUUGAUACGGGCAGGCUAGAGUUCGGUAGGGGAGACUGGAAUUCCUGGUGUAGCGGUGAAAUGCGCAGAUAUCAGGAGGAACACCGGUGGCGAAGGCGGAUCUCUGGGCCAUUACUGACGCUGAGGAGCGAAAGCGUGGGGAGCGAACAGG